GACAUCACAGCAGAAGAGCACCAGCAAGGACAGCUCCUGCCUUAGCUCACCAGAGGCAGGUGCCCCUGAGGGAGAGAGGAGGCAGCUGUCAGAGCACUGUGAUAACCGUGGGGAGGACAAAGCAGUCGGUGGCAUGGCUGUGAGUGAGCAGCCUGGGAUCAAUGCAGCUCUCAGCACCGUGCUGGGGACAGGUUCCUCUCUCUUCCCCAGAGGCAGGCAGAGCACUGAACCAGGCUGGCAGUGGCUUCGUCCUGGGAAGGACUCAGUGCAGCUGCAGUAGAAGAGCCAGGAUUAGCCUCGGGGAGGAGGAGCUGCUCAGGCUGACAGCGAGUGGAAGAUGCCUCCAGCUUCAGACCCUGUCACUAGCUCCAGCUGGCAAAACUGCAUUCAUGGAGGAGAGGAGGGAAGCACUUCUCAGCGAGCUUCACCACCUGACACUUCUGAGCAGGAAGGGAUUCCCCCUAAGCAGAGACAAAUAAACCAAUCCUGUUCUGUUUGA